UACGUAGGGGGCAAGCGUUGUCCGGAUUUAUUGGGCGUAAAGAGCGUGUAGGCGGCCAGGGAGGUCCGUUGUGAAAACUCGAGGCUCAACCUCGAGACGCCGAUGGAAACCCCCCAGCUAGAGUCCGGAAGAGGAGAGUGGAAUUCCUGGUGUAGCGGUGAAAUGCGCAGAUAUCGUAAGGAAGACCAGUGGCGAAGGCGGGUCUCUGGACAGUUCCUGACGCUGAGGCACGAAGGCCAGGGGAGCAAACGGG
rnacentral:rRNA from 1 species